UACGAAGGGGGCAAGCGUUGUUCGGAAUUACUGGGCGUAAAGGGCGCGCAGGCGGCUGAUCAAGUCAGAUGUGAAAGCCCCGGGCUCAACCUGGGAAUAGCAUUUGGGACUGGUCGGCUAGAGUUCGGGAGAGGAGAGUGGAAUUCCCAGUGUAGAGGUGAAAUUCGUAGAUAUUGGGAAGAACACCGGUGGCGAAGGCGGCUCUCUGGACCGAUACUGACGCUGAGGCGCGAAAGCGUGGGGGAGCAAACAGG
rnacentral:rRNA from 1 species